AUACACAAAGUGAUUCUUCGACGUGGAUGCCCAUAUCGGAUACUGACAGAUCUUGGUUCAGAAUUCAAUAAUAAGUUUAACUUGUUUUUUUGUGAAAAAUUGGGAAUAGAACGUAGCUUCACCAGUCCGUACCACCCACAGACCAAUGGCUUGGCUGAGAACGCUAAUAGAUCCAUAAAAAGAGCACUGCGGAAGAUGGUUGAUGAAAGUGGGACUAACUGGGAUCAAUUUCUUGAUCCCAUUUUGUUUUCUUUGCGAACAAAAGCACACGCAACAACAAAAAUUUCACCUUUUCGUCUAAUGUUUACUGAAGAACCAGUGUUUCCAACAGACGUCCCAGAGAAUUACCCGAUCCCAGAUAUUAAUACAUUCGUGGAAGAGUUCUGCAAAGAGUACAGCAUAGAUAUGACGUCAAGACAUGAUGCUGAC